rnacentral:rRNA from 1 species
CGUAGGGUGCAAGCGUUAAUCGGAAUUACUGGGCGUAAAGCGUGCGCAGGCGGUUAUGUAAGACAGAUGGGAAAUCCCCGGGCUCAACCUGGGAACUGCAUUUGUGACUGCAUAGCUUGAGUGCGGCAGAGGGGGAUGGAAUUCCGCGUGUAGCAGUGAAAUGCGUAGAUAUGCGGAGGAACACCGAUGGCGAAGGCAAUCCCCUGGGCCUGCACUGACGCUCAUGCACGAAAGCGUGGGGAGCAAACAGG